rnacentral:tRNA from 1 species
AGGAUAAUAGUUAAAUAUAACAUUUAAUUUGCACUUAGAAAGUAUUGAUUUUUUUCAAUUUAUCUUA